UCUCCCGUGAGGGAGCAGUCUCGCCAGACACGUAUAACUGGCAAUGGGGGUUGCGUUCGUUACCCCACUUAAGGGAACAAUUCAAACCACGAACUGACGACGGCCAUGCAUCACCUGCCCAACCGUCCUUGCGGACGAUUCUCCUUUCAGAGAAUCUUCGAUUGGGUUUCAAACCCUGGUAAGGUUCUUCGUUUAGCGUCGAAUUAAGCCACAUGCUCCACCGCUUGUGCGAGCUCCCGUCUAUUCCUUUGAGUUUUAAGCUUGCGCUCGUACUUCCCAGGCGGUCCGCUUAAUGCGUUAGCUUCGCCUCCCAGAGGGUCGAUACUCCGAAAAGCUAGCGGACAACGUUUAGGGCAUGGACUA
rnacentral:misc_RNA from 1 species